UCCCUACGGGGUGCACCAGGCGCGAAACCUCCGCAAUGUGAGCAAUCGCGACGGGGGGAUCCCAAGUGCCAUUCUUAACUGGGAUGGCUUCCUUAAGUUAAAGAGCUCUGAAUACGUAUUCGAA
rnacentral:rRNA from 1 species